AGGCUACGAUGAGAAAAGUCAUGCACCACUCUGAACAGAUUUAUCUCUUUGUUGAUAGACAAACUUACAAAUCAUUUUACAUCUGAGAGGCCC